AACGAACGCUGGCGGCGCGCCUAAUACAUGCAAGUCGAGCGAGAAGGUGUAGCAAUACACUUGUAAAGCGGCGAACGGGUGAGGAAUACAUGGGUAAUCUACCAUCGAGUGGGGAAUAACCAACCGAAAGGUUGGCUAAUACCGCGUACGCCUCCGGGUCUUCGGGUUCGGAGGGAAAGCUGCACUGUGAGUGUAGCGCUCUUUGAUGAGCUCAUGUCCUAUCAGCUUGUUGGUAGGGUAACGGCCUACCAAGGCUUUGACGGGUAGCUGGUCUGAGAGGACGAUCAGCCACACUGGCACUGCGACACGGGCCAGACUCCUACGGGAGGCAGCAGUAAGGAAUAUUGCGCAAUGGGCGAAAGCCUGACGCAGCGACGCCGCGUGGGGGAUGAAGGUCUUCGGAUUGUAAACCCCUUUCGGGAGGGAAGAUGGAGCGAGCAAUCGUUCGGACGGUACCUCCAGAAGCAGCCACGGCCAACUUCGUGCCAGCAGC
rnacentral:rRNA from 1 species